rfam:Pseudomonas denitrificans ATCC 13867, complete genome.
CUAUUUCUUCUAUGGGUAUUGGUUUAGCCAAAGGCGCGCCUGAUACCCCACAGGCGCCCUAGCAAGCAGGGUCGCCAACCAGACAGAUUCAUGAAACCCCGGUCGGCAACCCGACCGGGGU